GGAGGGGAGGGAAGCCUUUUAAUGACUCAUUGAUUGAGCCGGUUUAAAAUUAGUUGUGUGCGCGAGUGUGAGUGUGUUUUCCGCCCCCCGGAGCCGCCGGGAGCCGGGAAGGAGGGAGCAGGGCUCGGCGAGGGGAAGACGGCGCGGCGGGGCCGCGAGCAGGGGGCAGGGAGGGCCUGGAGUGACGGCGGGCGAGGAAGAAAAAUAAGCUUUUCCAAUCUCCUCCCCUCUGUUUUCCCCCCCUCGUUUCUUUUCUCUCUCGGAAGCUCUAGGGUGUGAAUCACAUUUUCUUUCUUCUCGGCAAAAUGGACCCCGCGUCUGGGGAGGGGGAGGGGAAAGGGUGGGGAGGGAGGCGGCGGAGACGGGGUUUAUUUUUCAUCCUGGCUUCGUCCUUCCCGCCGCAUCUGCGGGCGGCCGCGGCGAGGAAAGCAGGUCCGGGCUGCGGCGGGGAGAGCUCGGGGCCGGCAAGUCGCCCUGGCCCCGCUCCGAGCCCGCGGCGGCGGCGCGCACCUGCCGCGGGACUGCCCUUUCCCAGCCGCUCGCUGCCUUCUGAAGCACCGCAGAGGAUCCGCGGUCGGAUCCGGCCGAGCCCCCAGCCACGCGGAGGAUCCGCGGCCGGGUCCGGCUGAGUCCCCAGCCGGGCGGAGGACUCGCGGCCCAGCCUGGCGUUUCCUACGAGGCCCGUGUUGUCCGCCGCGCUGGCCAGAAGAGCUGUGUGGCUGGGACGGCGCUUUUUUGGCCGAGUGCGCGCGGGCCUGAUGCUAUUCGCGCCCCCCGAGUCGCCCCGAAUGCGGGAUCUUGGGUGGGGGGUGCGGUUGGAAGGCGCUAAGAUGGCGCUGGGCCUGGCCUGUCGCCAGGGCUGGUGGCGCAGUUGCUCGGCGGGCGCCAUCUUUCUCGCGGCGCGGGCGGCGCCCUCCGAGGACAUGUCGCUGACCAGGGCGCCGCGAGGCCCGGGGCCAGCGGGAGCCGAGAGCAGGGUGCUGAAUUCUGGAGAUGGGACUGGGGUCGCGCGGCCUUCUCCUUCCCCACGGCCCCAGACCCAAAAGACGAGGCCGCCGACUCGGAGCGGGAAGGGCUGGGGUCAGCUUCUUCCUCCUUCCCACUUGUGAUGGAAGAAGGGGACUGGGCGUCGAGCCUCGCGGCUGAUGGGUUCCCUCCCUGACCCCGCACCCCCACUCCUCCCAGUCAAAAUUGGAGGUGAGGCGCUUCUGCCAUUUCUCUCCUGCCAUCUGAGAGUGGACGCCUUUGUCUUCUCUGGCCCGGCUUGGGGGCAGGGCAUUGAGGCUUUUCCUUCGUUCUCCAGUUACUGGAAGUAGAGUCCAACCAGGUUACAAAACUAAAAAAAGAGUCCAGGACAUUGUCUGUCUGCCUUCCCGUAACAUGGUUCUCUUGUGGGUACCCUACGCUUCGUUUCUUAGUUUUACUCUAAAACAACCAUGAGGAGACAUUUACUAGUCAGAUUGAGAAGGUGAUGGGUUCCAGUUUUCUGAAACUUCUUGUUGGCUUUCAUAUUACUUCAAAUGGCAGUGAAUUAAAAGUUUCUUAGAACGCUGA